UGGGCAAUAUAUGGAAUGGAGAG
rnacentral:misc_RNA from 1 species